rnacentral:piRNA from 1 species
UACAGGUUCGGUGGUUUAGGAAUCCGA